rnacentral:rRNA from 1 species
UACGUAGGGGGCGAGCGUUGUCCGGAUUCAUUGGGCGUAAAGCGCUUUAAGGCGGUUCGCUAAGUCGCGUGUGAAAACUCCAGGCUCAACCUGGAGACGCCACGUGAUACUGGCGUGACUAGAGUUCGGUAGGGGAUCACGGAAUUCCUGGUGUAGCGGUGAAAUGCGCAGAUAUCAGGAGGAACACCGGUGGCGAAGGCGGGUCUCUGGGCAAUAACUGACGCUGAGGAGCGAAAGCGUGGGGAGCGAACAGG